rnacentral:rRNA from 1 species
GUACCUGACUAAGAAGCUCCGGCUAAAUACGUGCCAGCAGCCGCGGUAAUACGUAUGGAGCAAGCGUUAUCCGGAUUUACUGGGUGUAAAGGGGGCGUAGAUGGAUGUUUAAGUCAGUUGUGAAAGUUUGCGGCUCAACCGUAAAAUUGCAGUUGAUACUGGAUAUCUUGAGUGCAGUUGAGGCAGGCGGAAUUCGUGGUGUAGCGGUGAAAUGCUUAGAUAUCACGAAGAACUCCGAUUGCGAAGGCAGCCUGCUAAGCUGCAACUGACAUUGAGGCUCGAAAGUGUGGGUAUCAAACAGGAUUAGAUACCCUGGUAGUCCACACGGUAAACGAUGAAUACUCGCUGUUUGCGAUAUACAGCAAGCGGCCAAGCGAAAGCGUUAAGUAUUCCACCUGGGGAGUACGCCGGCAACGGUGAAACUCAAAGGAAUUGACGGGGGCCCGCACAAGCGGAGGAACAUGUGGUUUAAUUCGAUGAUACGCGAGGAACCUUACCCGGGCUUAAAUUGCAGAUGAAUUACGGUGAAAGCCGUAAGCCGCAAGGCAUCUGUGAAGGUGCUGCAUGGUUGUCGUCAGCUCGUGCCGUGAGGUGUCGGCUUAAGUGCCAUAACGAGCGCAACCCUUGUUGUCAGUUACUAACAGGUUUCGCUGAGGACUCUGACAAGACUGCCAUCGUAAGAUGUGAGGAAGGUGGGGAUGACGUCAAAUCAGCACGGCCCUUACGUCCGGGGCUACACACGUGUUACAAUGGGGGGUACAGAGGGCCGCUACCACGCGAGUGGAUGCCAAUCCCCAAAACCUCUCUCAGUUCGGACUGGAGUCUGCAACCCGACUCCACGAAGCUGGAUUCGCUAGUAAUCGCGCAUCAGCCACGGCGCGGUGAAUACGUUCCCGGGCCUUGUACACACCGCCCGUCAAG